GACGAACGCUGGCGGCGUGCUUAACACAUGCAAGUCGAGCGGGGAUAGAGGAUGGAGUUCUUCGGAACGAAGCCCUCUAUUCUAGCGGCGGACGGGUGAGUAACGGCGUGAGCAAUCUGUCCCAGACAGGGGGAUAACACCUGGAAACAGGUGCUAAUACCGCAUAAGACCACAGCAUCGCAUGGUGCAGGGGGUAAAAGAGGAAUCCGGUCUGGGGUGAGCUCGCGUCCCAUUAGCUAGUUGGCGA
rnacentral:rRNA from 1 species